UGUAAGUAACUUAGGAACAUAGGAAGCUACUUUUCAGAUGUAAGGAAUUGUUAUCAAACAAAACUGAGCACUUCACCAAACUAUAAUUUCCAGUAGAGUGUGUGUGUGUGUGUGUGUGUGUGUGUGUGUGUGUAGCAUAGAUAUGUCCAA